UCCCUCUUCCCUUGGGUGUGGAUCUAUCUUGGGCAUCCCACCUGCUGGUGUGAGGUGUCACACUAGUAUAUCUCAUCCCUCGAUUGAUUGAGUUGUUAAGACAAUUGAAUUGGAGUUCAUCCUAUUUUUCUGCGGUAUCUGACGUGCAUGCAAAGUAGAGGAUCUGCACAUCUUGACCUCCACAAAGAUUUAUAUCAGAUAAUUUGAGAUC
rnacentral:lncRNA from 1 species